rnacentral:rRNA from 1 species
CUGUGUAGGAUAGGUGGGAGGCUUUGAAACCGGGACGCUAGUUUCGGUGGAGCCGUCCUUGAAAUACCACCCUGGUUUGUUUGAGGUUCUAACCUUGGCCCGUGAAUCCGGGUCGGGGACAGUGCAUGGUAGGCAGUUUGACUGGGGCGGUCUCCUCCCAAAGUGUAACGGAGGAGUUCGAAGGUACGCUUGGUACGGUCGGACAUCGUACCUAAAGUGCAAUGGCAAAAGCGUGCUUAACUGCGAGACCGACAAGUCGAGCAGGUGCGAAAGCAGGACAUAGUGAUCCGGUGGUUCUGUAUGGAAGGGCCAUCGCUCAACGGAUAAAAGGUACUCUAGGGAUAAC